rnacentral:rRNA from 1 species
AUACGUAGGGGGCAAGCGUUAUCCGGAUUUACUGGGUGUAAAGGGAGCGUAGACGGAAUGGCAAGUCUGAUGUGAAAGGCCGGGGCUCAACCCCGGGACUGCAUUGGAAACUGUCAGGCUAGAGUGCAGGAGGGGUAAGUGGAAAUCCUAGUGUAGCGGGGAAAUGCGUAGAUAUUAGGAGGAACACCGGUGGCGAAGGCGGCUUACUGGACUGUAACUGACGUUGAGGCUCGAAAGCGUGGGGAGCAAACAGGAUUAGAUUCCCUGGUAGUCCGCGCCGUAAACGAUGAAUACUAGGUGUUGGGUUCCAAUAGGGAUUCGGUGCCGCAGCUAACGCAAUAAGUAUUCCACCUGGGGAGUACGUUCGCAAGAAUGAAACUCAAAUGAAUUGACGGGG